UACAGAGGGUGCAAGCGUUGUUCGGAAUUAUUGGGCGUAAAGGGUGCGUAGGCGGUCGGGUAAGUCUGAUGUGAAAUCUCACAGCUUAACUGUGAAACUGCAUUGGAUACUAUCCGGCUAGAGGAAUGGAGGGGAGACUGGAAUACUUGGUGUAGCAGUGAAAUGCGUAGAUAUCAAGUGGAACACCAGUGGCGAAGGCGAGUCUCUGGACAUUUCCUGACGCUGAGGCACGAAAGCCAGGGGAGCGAACGGG
rnacentral:rRNA from 1 species